rnacentral:tRNA from 1 species
AUUAUUUUGGCAGAUUAGUGCAUUAAAUUUAGAAUUUAAGAAUAUAUUUAUAUAUAAAUAAUA